rnacentral:rRNA from 1 species
AACGAACGCUGGCGGCAGGCCUAACACAUGCAAGUCGAACGCCCUAGCAAUAGGGAGUGGCAGACGGGUGAGUAACGCGUGGGAACGUGCCUUUCGGUUCGGAAUAACUCAGGGAAACUUGAGCUAAUACCGGAUACGCCCUUCGGGGGAAAGAUUUAUUGCCGAAAGAUCGGCCCGCGUCCGAUUAGCUAGUUGGUGAGGUAAAGGCUCACCAAGGCGACGAUCGGUAGCUGGUCUGAGAGGAUGAUCAGCCACACUGGGACUGAGACACGGCCCAGACUCCUACGGGAGGCAGCAGUGGGGAAUAUUGGACAAUGGGCGCAAGCCUGAUCCAGCCAUGCCGCGUGAGUGAUGAAGGCCCUAGGGUUGUAAAGCUCUUUCGCCAGGGACGAUAAUGACGGUACCUGGAUAAGAAGCCCCGGCUAACUUCGUGCCAGCCGCCGCCUAGA